GCCAGCAGCCAAAUCACCCUGCAACUCACAACUGGCAACCCACUGACGCCAAGCAGGUGUGAGCCUGGUCAGUACCUGGAUGGGAGACCUCCUGGGAAAAACUAAGGUUGCUGCUGGAA
ensembl:rRNA 5S_rRNA 5S ribosomal RNA